GCCUACGGCCAUACCACGUUGAACACACCGGUUCUCGUCCGAUCACCGAAGUUAAGCAACGUCGGGCCCGGUUAGUACUUGGAUGGGUGACGCCUGGGAACACGGGUGCUGUAGGCA
rnacentral:rRNA from 1 species